GAUGAACGCUAGCGAUAGGCUUAACACAUGCAAGUCGAGGGACCGGAGCAAGGGUGCGGAAAGCGUAUGCAACUUGCCUCACAGAGGGGGAUAACCCGUCGAAAGACGGACUAAUACCGCGUACUGUGAGAUAGGAAUGCGUCCCAUUUGCUAGUUGGUGAGGUAACGGCUCACCAAGGAAACGAUGGGUAGGGGAACUGAGAGGUGGCACCCCGAGACUGGGACUGGGACACGGACCAGACUCCUACGGGAGGAAGCAGUGAGGAAGAUUGGUCAAGGGGCGAGAGCCUGAACCAGCCAAGUCGCGUGAAGGAUGACUGUCGAUGGAUGGUAAACUUCUUGUGGAGGGGAGUAGGUAGCCUACGAAUAAGCAUCGGCUAACUCCGUGCCAGCAGCCGCGGUAAUUC
rnacentral:rRNA from 1 species